GAUAAUAUUUUGAACCGCAUGGUUCAAAAGUGAAAGACGGUCUUGCUGUCACUUAUAGAUGGAUCCGCGCUGCAUUAGCUAGUUGGUAAGGUAACGGCUUACCAAGGCAACGAUGCAUAGCCGACCUGAGAGGGUGAUCGGCCACACUGGAACUGAGACACGGUCCAGACUCCUACGGGAGGCAGCAGUAGGGAAUCUUCCGCAAUGGGCGAAAGCCUGACGGAGCAACGCCGCGUGAGUGAUGAAGGUCUUCGGAUCGUAAAACUCUGUUAUUAGGGAAGAACAUAUGUGUAAGUAACUGUGCACAUCUUGACGGUACCUAAUCAGAAAGCCACGGCUAACUACGUGCCAGCAGCCGCGGUAAUACGUAGGUGGCAAGCGUUAUCCGGAAUUAUUGGGCGUAAAGCGCGCGUAGGCGGUUUUUUAAGUCUGAUGUGAAAGCCCACGGCUCAACCGUGGAGGGUCAUUGGAAACUGGAAAACUUGAGUGCAGAAGAGGAAAGUGGAAUUCCAUGUGUAGCGGUGAAAUGCGCAGAGAUAUGGAGGAACACCAGUGGCGAAGGCGACUUUCUGGUCUGUAACUGACGCUGAUGUGCGAAAGCGUGGGGAUCAAACAGGAUUAGAUACCCUGGUAGUCCACGCCGUAAACGAUGAGUGCUAAGUGUUAGGGGGUUUCCGCCCCUUAGUGCUGCAGCUAACGCAUUAAG
rnacentral:rRNA from 1 species